rnacentral:rRNA from 1 species
ACGGGUGAGUAACACGUAGGCAACCUGCCCUCAAGCUUGGGACAACUACCGGAAACGGUAGCUAAUACCGAAUACUUGUUUUCUUCGCCUGAAGGAAAUUGGAAAGACGGAGCAAUCUGUCACUUGAGGAUGGGCCUGCGGCGCAUUAGCUAGUUGGUGAGGUAACGGCUCACCAAGGCGACGAUGCGUAGCCGACCUGAGAGGGUGAUCGGCCACACUGGGACUGAGACACGGCCCAGACUCCUACGGGAGGCAGCAGUAGGGAAUCUUCCGCAAUGGGCGAAAGCCUGACGGAGCAAUGCCGCGUGAGUGAUGAAGGUUUUCGGAUCGUAAAGCUCUGUUGCCAGGGAAGAACGCUUAGGAGAGUAACUGCUCCUGAGGUGACGGUACCUGAGAAGAAAGCCCCGGCUAACUACGUGCCAGCAGCCGCGGUAAUACGUAGGGGGCAAGCGUUGUCCGGAAUUAUUGGGCGUAAAGCGCGCGCAGGCGGUCAUUUAAGUCUGGUGUUUAAUCCCGGGGCUCAACCCCGGAUCGCACUGGAAACUGGGUGACUUGAGUGCAGAAGAGGAGAGUGGAAUU